rnacentral:rRNA from 1 species
UAGGGAAUCUUCGGCAAUGGACGAAAGUCUGACCGAGCAACGCCGCGUGAGUGAAGAAGGUUUUCGGCUCGUAAAACUCUGUUGUUCGAGAAGAACAAGGACGUUAGUAACUGAACGUCCCCUGACGGUAUCUAACCAGAAAGCCACGGCUAACUACGUGCCAGCAGCCGCGGUAAUACGUAGGUGGCAAGCGUUUUCCGGAUUUAUUGGGCGUAAAGCGAGCGCAGGCGGUUUCUUAAGUCUGAUGUGAAAGCCCCCGGCUCAACCGGGGAGGGUGAUUGGAAACGGGGGGACUUGGGUGCAGAAGAGGAGAGUGGAAUUCCAUGUGGAGCAGGGAAAUGCGUAGAUAUAUGGCGGAACAGCAGUGGCGAAGGCGGCUCUCUGGUCUGUAACUGAAGCUGAGGCACGAAAGCGUGGGGAGCAAACAGG